CGGACGGGUGAGUAACGCGUGGAUAACCUGCCUUACACUGGGGGAUAACACUUAGAAAUAGGUGCUAAUACCGCAUAAGCGCACAGAGCCGCAUGGCUCAGUGUGAAAAACUCCGGUGGUAUACGAUGGAUCCGCGUCUGAUUAGCCAGUUGGCGGGGUAACGGCCCACCAAAGCGACGAUCAGUAGCCGGCCUGAGAGGGUGAACGGCCACAUUGGGACUGAGACACGGCCCAAACUCCUACGGGAGGCAGCAG
rnacentral:rRNA from 1 species